UACGUAGGGGGCAAGCGUUGUCCGGAUUUAUUGGGCGUAAAGAGCGUGUAGGCGGUUAGGUAGGUCCGUUGUGAAAACUCGAGGCUCAACCUCGAGACGCCGAUGGAAACCAUCUGACUAGAGUCCGGAAGAGGAGAGUGGAAUUCCUGGUGUAGCGGUGAAAUGCGCAGAUAUCAGGAGGAACACCGGUGGCGAAGGCGGGUCUCUGGGCCGAUACUGACGCUGAGGAGCGAAAGCGUGGGGAGCAAACAGG
rnacentral:rRNA from 1 species